rnacentral:rRNA from 1 species
CCUACGGGUGGCAGCAGUGAGGAAUAUUGGUCAAUGGGCGAGAGCCUGAACCAGCCAAGUCGCGUGAGGGAGUACUGCCCUAUGGGUUGUAAACCUCUUUUGUCGGGGAGCAAAAGCCGGACGUGUCCGGCUGUGAGAGUACCCGAAGAAAAAGCAUCGGCUAACUCCGUGCCAGCAGCCGCGGUAAUACGGGGGAUGCGAGGGUUAUCCGGAUUUAUUGGGUUUAAAGGGGGCGCACGCGGAUUUUUAAGUCAGCGGUAAAAUCGUGGGGCUCAACCCCAUCCAGCCGUUGAAACUGGGGAUCUAGAGUGUGCGAGAGGUAUGCGGAAUGCGUGGUGUAGCGGUGAAAUGCAUAGAUAUCACGCAGAACCCCGAUUGCGAAGGCAGCAUACCGGUGCACAACUGACGCUCAGGCACGAAAGCGUGGGUAUCGAACAGGAUUAGAUACCCCGGUAGUC